UACGUAGGGUCCGAGCGUUGUUCGGAUUUACUGGGCGUAAAGGGCGCGUAGGCGGUCAGCACAAGUCAGUUGUGAAAUCUCCGGGCUUAACUCGGAAAGGUCAACUGAUACUGUGCGACUAGAGUGCGGAAGGGGCAACUGGAAUUCUCGGUGUAGCGGUGAAAUGCGUAGAUAUCGAGAGGAACACCUGCGGCGAAGGCGGGUUGCUGGGCCGACACUGACGCUGAUGCGCGAAAGCCAGGGGAGCGAACGGG
rnacentral:rRNA from 1 species